AAACCAAAAUCAAAAUCAAAACCCAACCUAUUAUUUUCUAUCCCUCUUUUCCUCUCAAAGAUUUUUUUUAAAAAAAAUGGUAUCGCCGAAAAAGGGUUUAGGCUCUCGACCGCCCACCCCACAAAAGAGGGUCCGAUGAUAAAUCUCCUUCCCGAUGUCCAAAGCAAUGUUGGUUCAUCUGGAAAAUCGGUGCUGAAACGAAGAAGCCUUGGUGCAGACUUAUAUCAGAGUUUCUGCAGAUUUGCACCGCUUAGGGUCCCAUUUGGCAGAAAGAGACAAAGAGUAUAUCAAGGAUUUUUUCAAACUUAAACACAAACUCGAGAUCUCUGGUCAAAACAGAAACAACGCCAUCCACUGCAUUGCUGAAUCAAACAGUGGAUAUUUCGGGGCAACAUUUCAUGGCUGGUGCAGGCAAAGACCUUCCUGAACAUGCAAUGAUUUGUGUGAUAAAUCGUGAAGAGUAUUCCGUGGAACAUCUUCAGGCAUUAUGAGCAAACUACUACCAUAGCAAUUUGAAUAUGAAACAUAUAGCACAUUGACGGACUGCAUUAGUUGGCAUUUGUUUGAUUCAUAUCUUAGAUGAAUUUUAUAUUGUAUAUACAAUAUGAUUAAUCAUUGUUUGUGGAAACGAUCAGUACCAAAACUCGCUGGCUUUGAUUGAGAGGAACGGAAGCAGAGAACCAUACCCUUGGGUGGAAUACUAGUGGCCUUCUCAAUUCUGGCGAUCAGAUCGUCUUCCUCUCAGUCAGUGAGCUGUGCUUACACGCCCCUGCUGUGGAUGAUCCGGACUAGUUACUCGCUAAUACAUUGUUUGAGGCUGUAUUCAAUGAGAGCCGGAAUUCGCCAUUCAUUUUGUUCGAGAAAGAUGCUGACAAAGUAAUGGCAGGAAACUCAGAAUUAUAUUCAACAUUGAAAAGUCGGCUUGAGAAGAUUCCUGAUAAUGUAAUUACUAUUGGUUCCACACGCUCAUACAGAUAAUCACAAGGACAAGGGAUGCUGCGACAUAAAAUGAAUUUGAGAAGGGUUGUGCACAGAGGAUUCUGAACGAGUUAUGAUACUCGCAGCAACAAACACGCCAUUUGAUCAGGCUGUGAUAAGGCGACUGUCCCGUAGGUUGAUGGUCAAUUUACCAGAUGCUCCAAACAACGCAAAAAUUCUAAAAAUGAUAACUCGCAAAAGAAGACUUGGCUCAUGAUGUCGAUCUGGAUUCAGUUGCAUGCAUGACAAAUGGAUAUUCCAAAAGUAACCUUAAGGUGUCUGUACUAUUCAUGUUUGCUUGGAUAAAUUACUAGUCCUAUUUCAUCAUUCUAAAAACAAAGCGUCUUCAAAUUUCUGAAUGAUGAAACAUGACUAAUCGUUUAUUAAGCAAACAUGAUUAGAAAAAACACCUUAAGGUCACAUCCUGAAUAUCCAUUUGUUGUACUUGCAAUUGAAUCCAAAUCAACAUCCUGAGCCAAGUCUUCUUUUGCGAGUAUCACUUUUGGAUCUGUGUAUAGCAGCUGCAUAUCAACCCAUUAGAGAGAUAGUAGGAAAAUAAAAGAAGUUUUAGCUUUUCUAUGUUUGAUGUUAGUUCGUUGGUUGCUUAACUAAGCUAGAAAAUAACAUGUUGGCUAAGGUAUAGCUUUCUCUGCUUGAUGUUUGUUCGUUGAUUGCUUAACUGAGGCAGAAAAUAAGAUGUUGGCUCUUCCAAUAGAUUCUUUUUUCUCCGCGAUUCUGUUAAGGAUGUCAAUUCCACUUUCUUUUGAUAAUUUUCAUGGGUUUUAGAGGA